ensembl:lncRNA
GACAGACUCUGACCGCGCUCCGCCAGAAUCAACUGACGUUUCCCUGUGUCCCGCCUCCACGCAGGAGGACAACCAAUGAGGGCGCUGCAAAAAUCCAGCGUAAUGACGUUUCCGCUUCUGCGCGCAUGCGCAAUGUCAUUUUGUCCAAAGCUCCUCACUGUUCACAUCGAAGAUGGCGGCAGGCUUUGACCUGCUGUAUAAGGAUUUCUGUAUUAAAAGAGUGGGAAAGAAACUUUUUUUUACCGAUACUUCAGGUUGUAUUAGAUUAGAAGUUUCCACAUCUUGUCACAAUAAGUUUGAGGUAAGCGCCCAGGCAGCCGGAAAAUCACCCCGCUGACUCCGGUAAAAGAGGCAAUUCAACUAACGUUAGCUGAUGUUGACAUUCUGCGAGCUCUUGUAAAUAUGAACAUAAUGAAAGCUGCUGCUCUUCAAGUGUGUUAGAUGAUUAUUUCUCCCAAGAGCAUUGUUGCUAGUGGACUUGAGGUUACACGGGCGCUUGUCAAAUCUGUAUUGACAUUGUGACACGAGACUCCCCUUCACUCACGGUGUUCCUUCGAAAAGCAAGUGCAGGGAAAAGCGGAUGAAAACCCAAACUUCCUGAACUGAUGUGCCAGAAGCACAGAUGGAAGACAGCUAAGCCGAUCCAGUGUUUCUUAAUGCUAUGGUAACUACUUUGACCGGGACGUCCACGGUGCAAACUUUGAACGGAGGCAAUGCAAUGGAUCCGCACACUGAAAGCGGCACUCCAGUGUCCAGUGGCCCAUCAUCAUCAUCAGACGAGGCUUCAACUUCUGUCCCAGUUGUUAAUAACGGGCCCGCAGUAGCGAAAGGUGUCACUGUCGCCCCAAGCCCAAACACAGUGAUACAGUCUUCUUACGGGAAUCCUCCAGCGGCAGCAUCCAGUGCAGGUCCCUCAGUGACAGUUGUCAGGCCAUCUAUGCAAACUGCUGGAACAGGUUUAACUGUUAACGGGAGUAAUAACAAUAACACCGUUCCGGCGACUGUAGCCAAUGUAGCGACCCCGGGAAUUACCAUUACUACUAACGUUUCUACUACUACAACGACCCCUCUUUUGAUGAACCAGACUCUUGCUUCUGUCUCAGCGAGCAAGUCCGAGGCUACUAAAACUAUCAUCCAGCCCGCCGGCACCAUGACUCUCGGCUCUGGAGUGGCCAAGGGGGCUGUUUUGCAGGGGGUUGCGAGAACUGUGGCUCCGGUAACUGUUGCAGCAGCAGUGGGAUCGAGUACUGCCAUCAGGGCCAUUGCGCCACAGGUGUUAGCACCCCGACUCCCUCAGAGCACUCCGGGCCAGAACAUCCAUAACAUUCAGCUACCUCCAGGUAUGGUGUUGGUGCGUAGUGAUAGUGGUCAGUUACUGAUGAUCCCACAGCAGAUGUUGGCACAGAUGCAGGCCCAGUCUCAGGCCGCCCGUCCUGCUGCCCCCACCAGCACCACCCCUGGGCAGAUCACCUCUGCACAGGUAAUACCCUCUGACCACCCCAAAC